GGCCCCGUAGUUUAACUUGGAUAGAACACCAGCUUGCGGAGCUGGUCAUCCGUGUUCAAAUCACGGCGGGGUCA
rnacentral:tRNA from 1 species